UACGUAGGGAGCUAGCGUUGUUCGGAAUUACUGGGCGUAAAGCGCACGUAGGCGGCUUUGUAAGUUAGAGGUGAAAGCCCGGGGCUCAACUCCGGAACUGCCUUUAAGACCGCAUCGCUUGAAUCCAGGAGAGGUGAGUGGAAUUCCGAGUGUAGAGGUGAAAUUCGUAGAUAUUCGGGAGAACACCAGUGGCGAAGGCGGCUCACUGGACUGGUAUUGACGCUGAGGUGCGAAAGCGUGGGGAGCAAACAGG
rnacentral:rRNA from 1 species